rnacentral:rRNA from 1 species
GACGAACGCUGGCGGCGUGCUUAACACAUGCAAGUCGAACGGAAAGGCCCCUUUGGGGGUACUCGAGUGGCGAACGGGUGAGUAACACGUGGGUGAUCUGCCCUGCACUUCGGGAUAAGCCUGGGAAACUGGGUCUAAUACCGGAUAGGAGCCAUUUUUAGUGUGAUGGUUGGAAAGUUUUUUCGGUGUAGGAUGAGCUCGCGGCCUAUCAGCUUGUUGGUGGGGUAAUGGCCUACCAAGGCGGCGACGGGUAGCCGGCCUGAGAGGGUGGACGGCCACAUUGGGACUGAGAUACGGCCCAGACUCCGACGGGAGGCAGCAGUGGGGAAUAUUGCACAAUGGGCGCAAGCCUGAUGCAGCGACGCCGCGUGGGGGAUGACGGCCUUCGGGUUGUAAACUCCUUUCGCUAGGGACGAAGCUUUUUGUGACGGUACCUAGAUAAGAAGCACCGGCUAACUACGUG